rnacentral:tRNA from 1 species
GCCCAGGUGGCUCAGUGGUUGAGCGUCUGCCUUCAGCUCAGGGUGUGAUCCUGGGUA